CAAAGCCGCUCAAAAUGAGGUAGUAGGUUAUAUCAGUUGAAUAUUUUACCAUGGUGAUAACUGUAUAACCAACUAGCUUUCUUAAACGGUUUACUAUCAGCA
rnacentral:pre_miRNA from 1 species